rnacentral:rRNA from 1 species
UACGUAGGGUGCAAGCGUUGUCCGGAAUUAUUGGGCGUAAAGAGCUCGUAGGCGGUUUUGUUGCGUCGGCUGUGAAAUCCCGAGGCUCAACCUCGGGUCUGCAGUCGAUACGAGCAAACUAGAGUGUUGCAGGGGAGACUGGAAUUCCUGGUGUAGCGGUGAAAUGCGCAGAUAUCAGGAGGAACACCGGUGGCGAAGGCGGGGUCUCUGGGCAACAACUGACGUGGAGGAGC